rnacentral:rRNA from 1 species
UCUACGGGAGGCUGCAGUGGGGAAUAUUGGACAAUGGGGGGAACCCUGAUCCAGCGACGCCGCGUGAGUGAAGAAGUAUUUCGGUAUGUAAAGCUCUAUCAGCAGGGAAGAAAAUGACGGUACCUACCUAAGAAGCCCCGGCUAACUACGUGCCAGAAGCCGCGGUAAUACGUAGGGGGCAAGCGUUAUCCGGAUUUACUGGGUGUAAAGGGAGCGUAGACGGUGCAGCAAGUCUGAUGGGAAAGGUCGGGGCCCAACCCCGGGACGGCAUUGGAAAUUGUUGAACGGGAGUACAGGAGAGGGAAGCGGAAGGCCUAGUGUAGCGGUGAAAUGCGUAGAUAUGAGGAGGAACACCAGUGGCGAAGGCGGCUUACUGGACUGUAACUGACGUUGAGGCUCGAAAGCGUGGGGAGCAAACAGGAUUAGAUACCCCUGUAGUC